UACGUAGGGGGGCGAGCGUUGUCCGGAUUCAUUGGGCGUAAAGCGCGCGUAGGCGGCUCCGCAAGUCGGCCGUGAAAUCUCCGGGCUCAACUCGGAGGGGUCGGGCGAGACUGCGGGGCUCGAGGUGGGCAGAGGGCAGUGGAAUUCCGGGUGUAGUGGUGGAAUGCGUAGAGAUCCGGAGGAACACCAGUGGCGAAGGCGGCUCACUGGUCCGGUACUGACGCUGAGGUGCGAAAGCGUGGGGGAGCAAACAGG
rnacentral:rRNA from 1 species